rnacentral:rRNA from 1 species
AGAUUGAACGCUGGCGGCAUGCCUUACACAUGCAAGUCGAACGGCAGCACGGGAGCAAUCCCGGUGGCGAGUGGCGAACGGGUGAGUAAUACAUCGGAACGUGCCCAAUCGUGGGGGAUAACGCAGCGAAAGCUGUGCUAAUACCGCAUAAGAUCUACGGAUGAAAGCAGGGGAUCGCAAGACCUUGCGCGAAUGGAGCGGCCGAUGGCAGAUUAGGUAGUUGGUGAGGUAAAGGCUCACAAGCCUUCGAUCUGUAGCUGGUCUGAGAGGACGACCAGCCACACUGGGACUGAGACACGGCCAGACUCCUACGGGAGGCAGCAGUGGGAAUUUUGGACAAGUGGGCGAAAGCCUAGAUCCAGCCAUGCCGCGUGCAGGAGUGAAGGUCCUUCGGGUUAGUAACGUUCGUCGUUUUGUAACGGUAACGUAAAAGUUCCUACUUUACUAAAGUUAAGAAGGUAUCUAAGUGUAACGGUACCGUAAGAAC